rnacentral:rRNA from 1 species
UACAGAGGUCUCAAGCGCUGUUCGGAUUCAUUGGGCGUAAAGGGUGCGUAGGUGGCGGGGUAAGUUGGAUGUGAAAUCUCGGAGCUCAACUCCGAAACUGCAUUCAAUACUGCCUUGCUAGAGUACUGGAGAGGAGAUUGGAAUUUACGGUGUAGCAGUGAAAUGCGUAGAUAUCGUAAGGAAGACCAGUGGCGAAGGCGGAUCUCUGGACAGUUACUGACACUGAGGCACGAAGGCCAGGGGAGCAAACGGG